rnacentral:rRNA from 1 species
CGACCGGAGGACGCGCGCCUCGUCGAUCCGUCGGACGCGCCGCUGCGCGGCGCGGUCGCGCACUGCGCAUUCCUCGGCGAGCGCACGCGCGUGACGAUCGAGCACGCCGCGCCCGACCCGCUCGUCAUCGACGUGCCGGGCCGCGUCGAUCUCGCGCGCGGCACCGCGGUCGGCGUCGCGAUCGCGGCCGAGGGGCUCAUCGCACUCGCGUGAUGCGCGUGCGCGCGGCGCGGGCACUGCGUCGGAGGUCUUGCGUCCCGCGACAGGCCUCUCGCGCCGUGCAUCGUGCAUCGUGCAUCGUGCAUCGUGCGACCGGCGACCGGCGACCGGCGACCGGCGACCGGCGACACAUGAUGCGCGAAGGCGAUGCGCGGCGCACGCCGCCGACGCCCCGAACCAAACGAGACACGACCCGAACCCCAUACAAUCACAACGAGGAACGAUGAUGCUGCUUGCCCACAUCAGCGAUCUGCAUAUCAAGCGGCCGGGCGCGCUCGCGUAUCGGCGCGUCGAUACCGCCGCGCAUCUCGCGCGCUGCGUCGCGCGGCUGAACGCGCUCGAGCCGCGCCCGGACGCGGUGCUCGUCACGGGCGACCUGACCGACUUCGGCGACGACGACGAAUACGCACACCUGAAAGCGCUGCUCGCGCCGCUCGCGAUGCCGUACUACCUGCUCGUCGGCAACCAUGACGACCGCGCGGCGCUGCGGCGCGCCUUCCCCGCGCGCGUCGAGCUGCAAUCGGGCGAGUUCGUCCAGUACGCGCUCGAUCUCGGGCCGCUGCGCGUGAUCGCGCUCGAUUCGCAGAUUCCGGGCGCGAGCGGCGGCACGCUGUGCGACGCGCGGCUCGCAUGGCUCGCCGAUCAGCUCGACGCCGCGCGCGAUCGCCCCGUGAUCGUCGCGCUCCAUCAUCCGCCGUUCGCGUGCGGCAUCGGCCACAUGGACGCGAUGCGGCUCGCCCCGGACGCGUCGAGCCGGCUCGACGCGCUGCUGCGCCGCCAUCCGAACGUCGAGCGCGUGCUGUGCGGCCACGUGCAUCGGACGAUGUUCGCGCGCUUCGGCGGCACGAUCGCGUCGGCCGUGCCCGCGCCCGCGCAUCAGGUCACGUUCGAUCUGCGCGACGGCGGGCCUUCGUCGUUCUCGAUGGAGCCGCCCGCGUUCGCCGUGCACCGCCAUGCGCCGGGCGCCGGGCUCGCGUCGCAUCACGUGUACGUCGACGCGAGCGAUGGGCCGCAUCCGUUCUUCGAGCCGACGGGAACGUUGAUCGAUUGAGCGCGCAAUCGAGCGGCCGAUCGCUCGCACGGCGGCGCGGCUCGCUGCAAACGUGCCGAGGCGCACGCCUUCGCGCGAUCCCUCGGCGGCGGCUUGCGGCUCGGCGCCGUCGGGCCGCACGGUCCGCGGCGCAUCGCGUGCGGCGUCGCACGACGCGGCGCCGCACGCGCCCGGCAAACGUCAUGCGCGCGACGGCGUGCAUUCGGGCCCGCGGGCACCGGGCACGCGAGCGUCGACGCGCGGCGCAUGCGCGCCCCUGGCCCUCCCGCGCAUUUCGUAGGCGGGCCGUCACGGCGCAAGCCGGCUACGUCACACGUCACCCCUCACGCUGAGUAUGGCAUGCCGCAUGCCGUACUCAGCGUGCACCGCCUGGCCGAUCGAUAACCGCGAGCAAAUCGGCGAGCGCCUGCCUGCAUGCGCCAGCUUGCGGCCUGUCGGCGCGCAGCGCGGUGAGCGCACGAUCGAUCGCGUGGUCGACCGCGUGCCAAUCGGCCGCCGCGCGCGGCUUGAGCGACGGCUCCGCAUCGUCCCACGACGUUUCCAGAUCCUUGAUGCGCGCCUUCGCGCCGGCGAGGUCACCCUUGUCGACGCGUUGCGCGACGUCGACGGCGAUCGCACGGAACGGCGACAGAUCGCCGAGCUUCGAGACGGUCGCGGCUUCGGCCAUGCUCGGCGCGACGCCUGCCGGCGACACCGUGCCGAUGCCGAACGCGGCGAGCGCCAGCGCGGGCGCGGCGGCGAAGGCGAUGAGCUUGCGCUUGAUCAUGACAAACCUCCUCGUGUUGAACUCGAAUGAAACGGUGGAAUACGACGCCGCCUCCGGUUUGCGUCAACGUCAACGUCAACGUCAACGUCAACAGCAACAGCAACGUCAGCGGCAGCCGCGACGGCAAGACCUCAGCGCCCGCGCGCGCCGAGCCGGCCCGCGCGCGCGGCGGCGACACUCAGCCCCGCGACGAGCGCAACGAUCACCGCGAGAAACACGGCGCUCGUCCUGAUCGUGCCGAGCCCGAGGCCGCCGUACGCUUGCGCCUGCGACAGGAAAUCACCGAGCGACGCGCCGAGCGGACGCGUGAGGAUGUACGCGAGCCAGAACGCGAGCACGCGGUUCAUCCCGCCGAGCGCGGCCGCCGCGACGAGCGCGAUCGCGCCGCCGAACGCGACGAUCCCGAGCCGGAAUCCGAGGCCGAGCGCCUCGGUCGCGAGAUCGCCCGCCGCCGUGCCGAGCGCGAACGUCAGCAGGAUCGCGGCCCAGUAGAACCCCUCGCGGCGCGGCGUGACGAUCGUAUGGAUCGACAGCGUGCGCUCGCUGCGAUACCAGAGCGCGAACGUCGCCGCGAGCGCGGCGGCGAAAAGCGGCGUGCUGACGUGGAGGCUGACGCCGAGACCGUCGGUGAGCGCGUCGGUGAUCUGCGUACCGGCGACGCUGACGAGGACGAUAUUCAGCCAGUAGAUCCAUGGCACAUAGGCGCGCGCGCGCCAUUGCAGCGCGAGCGCGCCGACCAGCAGGCAGGCCGUCAGCGCGCCCGUGACGGCGGCGCCGAGCCCCACGUGGACGGCGAGAUAAUCGGCGCCGGUCU